rnacentral:rRNA from 1 species
UACGUAGGGUGCGAGCGUUAAUCGGAAUUACUGGGCGUAAAGCGUGCGCAGGCGGUUUUGUAAGCCAGAUGUGAAAUCCCCGGGCUUAACCUGGGAAUGGCAUUUGGGACUGCAAGGCUCGAGUGCGGCAGAGGAGACGUGGAAUUCCUGGUGUAGCAGUGGAAAUGCGUAGAUAUCAGGAGGAACACCGAUGGCGGAAGGCAGGUCUCUGGCUGACACUGGACGCGCAUGCAC